rnacentral:rRNA from 1 species
UACGGGGGGGGCAAGCGUUGUUCGGAAUUACUGGGCGUAAAGCGCACGUAGGCGGAUUUGUAAGUCAGGGGUGAAAUCCCGGGGCUCAACCCCGGAACUGCCUUUGAUACUGCGAAUCUCGAGUCCGGAAGAGGUGAGUGGAAUUCCUAGUGUAGAGGUGAAAUUCGUAGAUAUUAGGAAGAACACCAGUGGCGAAGGCGGCUCACUGGUCCGGUACUGACGCUGAGGUGCGAAAGCGUGGGGAGCAAACAGG